rnacentral:rRNA from 1 species
AACGAACGCUGGCGGCAGGCCUAACACAUGCAAGUCGAACGCGUGUAGCAAUACACGAGCGGCGCACGGGUGAGUAACACGUGGGAACCAACCCAGAGGUUCGGAAUAACCGCGGGAAACUGCGGCUAAUACCGGAUGUCCCCCAUGGGGGAAAGAUUUAUCGCCUCUGGACGGGCCCGCGUCCGAUUAGCUAGUUGGUGAGGUAAUGGCUCACCAAGGCAACGAUCGGUAGCUGGUCUGAGAGGAUGACCAGCCACACUGGAACUGAGAUACGGUCCAGACUCCUACGGGAGGCAGCAGUGGGGAAUAUUGGGCAAUGGAGGCAACUCUGACCCAGCCAUGCCGCGUGGGUGACGAAGGUCUUCGGAUUGUAAAGCCCUUUCGGCGGGACGAUGAUGACGGUACCCGCAGAAGAAGCCCCGGCUAACUUCGUGCCA